ACUCCUUUUCGGAGUUCAUUCUAACUAUAAAAAUUAUCAUUUAAGACAGCAGAAAAACUCAAAGUUAAUUCAUUACGAACAUAAUUUUUAGCGAUUUUGCCAGAUUAGAUGAGCCAAGUUUAGAAGCUUCUUUAAAGAGCUUCAUAGCAAGAUUAAACUGAAGAGUUUGAUCAUGGCUCAGAUUGAACGCUGGCGGCAGGCUUAACACAUGCAAGUCGAGCGGUAACAGGAGAAGCUUGCUUCUCGCUGACGAGCGGCGGACGGGUGAGUAAUACUUAGGAAUCUACCUAGUAGUGGGGGAUAGCACGGGGAAACUCGUAUUAAUACCGCAUACGACCUACGGGAGAAAGGGGGCAGUUUACUGCUCUCGCUAUUAGAUGAGCCUAAGUCGGAUUAGCUAGAUGGUGGGGUAAAGGCCUACCAUGGCGACGAUCUGUAGCUGGUCUGAGAGGAUGAUCAGCCACACCGGGACUGAGACACGGCCCGGACUCCUACGGGAGGCAGCAGUGGGGAAUAUUGGACAAUGGGGGAAACCCUGAUCCAGCCAUGCCGCGUGUGUGAAGAAGGCCUUUUGGUUGUAAAGCACUUUAAGCAGUGAAGAAGACUCCAUGGUUAAUACCCAUGGACGAUGACAUUAGCUGCAGAAUAAGCACCGGCUAACUCUGUGCCAGCAGCCGCGGUAAUACAGAGGGUGCAAGCGUUAAUCGGAAUUACUGGGCGUAAAGGGAGCGUAGGUGGCUCUAUAAGUCAGAUGUGAAAUCCCCGGGCUUAACCUGGGAACUGCAUCUGAAACUGUAGAGCUAGAGUAUGUGAGAGGAAGGUAGAAUUCCAGGUGUAGCGGUGAAAUGCGUAGAGAUCUGGAGGAAUACCGAUGGCGAAGGCAGCCUUCUGGCAUAAUACUGACACUGAGGCUCGAAAGCGUGGGUAGCAAACAGGAUUAGAUACCCUGGUAGUCCACGCCGUAAACGAUGUCUACUAGUCGUUGGGUCCCUUGAGGACUUAGUGACGCAGCUAACGCAAUAAGUAGACCGCCUGGGGAGUACGGCCGCAAGGUUAAAACUCAAAUGAAUUGACGGGGGCCCGCACAAGCGGUGGAGCAUGUGGUUUAAUUCGAUGCAACGCGAAGAACCUUACCUGGUCUUGACAUAUCUAGAAUCCUGCAGAGAUGCGGGAGUGCCUUCGGGAAUUAGAAUACAGGUGCUGCAUGGCUGUCGUCAGCUCGUGUCGUGAGAUGUUGGGUUAAGUCCCGCAACGAGCGCAACCCUUGUCCUUAGUUACCAGCGGGUUAAGCCGGGAACUCUAAGGAUACUGCCAGUGACAAACUGGAGGAAGGCGGGGACGACGUCAAGUCAUCAUGGCCCUUACGACCAGGGCUACACACGUGCUACAAUGGUAGGUACAGAGGGCAGCUACACAGCGAUGUGAUGCGAAUCUCAAAAAGCCUAUCGUAGUCCAGAUUGGAGUCUGCAACUCGACUCCAUGAAGUAGGAAUCGCUAGUAAUCGCGGAUCAGAAUGCCGCGGUGAAUACGUUCCCGGGCCUUGUACACACCGCCCGUCACACCAUGGGAGUUGAUUGCACCAGAAGUGGAUAGCUUAACCUUCGGGGGAGCGUUCACCACGGUGUGGUUGAUGACUGGGGUGAAGUCGUAACAAGGUAGCCGUAGGGGAACCUGCGGCUGGAUCACCUCCUUAU
rnacentral:rRNA from 1 species